rnacentral:pre_miRNA from 1 species
AACGAACGACGAUGACGACGACGACGACGACGACGAUGGAGCGAACGAAAGGACGACAGCAACGUCGUCGUCAUCGUCGUCGUCGUCGUCGUAGUAG